rnacentral:hammerhead_ribozyme from 1 species
AUCCAACUGACGAGUCCCAGAUAGAACGAAACAAGCGUUCUGGAU